UGGAUGGUAGUGUAUUGGACUACCAUGGCAGUCGCGGGUAACGGAGAAUUAGGGUUCGAUUCCGGAGAGGGAGCCUGAGAAACGGCUACCACAUCUACGGAAGGCAGCAGGCGCGUAAAUUACCCAAUCCUGAUUCAGGGAGGUAGUGACAAGAAAUAACAACUCGGGCAUUUUUAAUGCUUCGAAUUUGCAAUGGGAACAAUCUAAAUCACUUAUCGAGGAACAAUUGGAGGGCAAGUCUGGUGCCAGCAGCCGCGGUAAUUCCAGCUCCAAAAGCGUAUAUUAAAGUUGUUGCAGUUAAAAAGCUCGUAGUUGAAGUUCUGGCUGUAUUGGGCCUUAGCACUUGAUGCGGAGGAACCAGCAGUCAUCCGCUUGCAAAUACAUGUCCUUCCUUAACCGGUAGGCUGUAUAAGUAAGCACUUUACCUUGAGAAAAACAGAGUGUUCCAGGCAGGUUUGUCCGGAAUGCGUUAGCAUGGAAUAAUARAACAUGACUGAAGUCGAUUUAUUGGUUUAAGGCUUUAGUAAUGAUUAAUAGGAACAAUCGGGGGCAUUGGUACUUGUCAGUCAGAGGUGAAAUUCUAGGAUUUGACAAAGACUAACUGAUGCGAAAGCGUUUGCCAAGAAUGUUUUCAUUAAUCAAGAACGAAAGUUAGGGGAUCAAAGACGAUCAGAUACCGUC
rnacentral:rRNA from 1 species